UACAGAGGUCUCAAGCGUCGUUCGGAAUCACUGGGCGUAAAGGGUGCGUAGGCCGCACGGUAAGUCAGAUGUGAAAUCUCAGGGCUCAACUCUGAAAUUGCAUCCGAUACUGCCGUGCUUGAGGACUGGAGAGGAGUCUGGAAUUCAUGGUGGAGCAGUGAAAUGCGUAGAUAUCAUGAGGAACACCAAUGGCGAAGGCAGCUCGCUGGAACGGUACUGACGCUGAGGCGCGAAAGCGUGGGGAGCGAACAGG
rnacentral:rRNA from 1 species